rnacentral:rRNA from 1 species
UUAAGCGACUAAGCGUACACGGUGGAUGCCCUGGCAGUCAGAGGCGAUGAAGGACGUGCUAAUCUGCGAUAAGCGUCGGUAAGGUGAUAUGAACCGUUAUAACCGGCGAUUUCCGAAUGGGGAAACCCAGUGUGUUUCGACACACUAUCAUUAACUGAAUCCAUAGGUUAAUGAGGCGAACCGGGGGAACUGAAACAUCUAAGUACCCCGAGGAAAAGAAAUCAACCGAGAUUCCCCCAGUAGCGGCGAGCGAACGGGGAGCAGCCCAGAGCCUGAAUCAGUGUGUGUGUUAGUGGAAGCGUCUGGAAAGGCGCGCGAUACAGGGUGACAGCCCCGUACACAAAAAUGCACAUGCUGUGAGCUCGAUGAGUAGGGCGGGACACGUGGUAUCCUGUCUGAAUAUGGGGGGACCAUCCUCCAAGGCUAAAUACUCCUGACUGACCGAUAGUGAACCAGUACCGUGAGGGAAAGGCGAAAAGAACCCCGGCGAGGGGAGUGAAAAAGAACCUGAAACCGUGUACGUACAAGCAGUGGGAGCACGCUUAGGCGUGUGACUGCGUACCUUUUGUAUAAUGGGUCAGCGACUUAUAUUCUGUAGCAAGGUUAACCGAAUAGGGGAGCCGAAGGGAAACCGAGUCUUAACUGGGCGUUAAGUUGCAGGGUAUAGACCCGAAACCCGGUGAUCUAGCCAUGGGCAGGUUGAAGGUUGGGUAACACUAACUGGAGGACCGAACCGACUAAUGUUGAAAAAUUAGCGGAUGACUUGUGGCUGGGGGUGAAAGGCCAAUCAAACCGGGAGAUAGCUGGUUCUCCCCGAAAGCUAUUUAGGUAGCGCCUCGUGAAUUCAUCUCCGGGGGUAGAGCACUGUUUCGGCAAGGGGGUCAUCCCGACUUACCAACCCGAUGCAAACUGCGAAUACCGGAGAAUGUUAUCACGGGAGACACACGGCGGGUGCUAACGUCCGUCGUGAAGAGGGAAACAACCCAGACCGCCAGCUAAGGUCCCAAAGUCAUGGUUAAGUGGGAAACGAUGUGGGAAGGCCCAGACAGCCAGGAUGUUGGCUUAGAAGCAGCCAUCAUUUAAAGAAAGCGUAAUAGCUCACUGGUCGAGUCGGCCUGCGCGGAAGAUGUAACGGGGCUAAACCAUGCACCGAAGCUGCGGCAGCGACGCUGAUGCGUUGUUGGGUAGGGGAGCGUUCUGUAAGCCUGCGAAGGUGUGCUGUGAGGCAUGCUGGAGGUAUCAGAAGUGCGAAUGCUGACAUAAGUAACGAUAAAGCGGGUGAAAAGCCCGCUCGCCGGAAGACCAAGGGUUCCUGUCCAACGUUAAUCGGGGCAGGGUGAGUCGACCCCUAAGGCGAGGCCGAAAGGCGUAGUCGAUGGGAAACAGGUUAAUAUUCCUGUACUUGGUGUUACUGCGAAGGGGGGGACGGAGAAGGCUAUGUUGGCCGGGCGACGGUUGUCCCGGUUUAAGCGUGUAGGCUGGUUUUCCAGGCAAAUCCGGAAAAUCAAGGCUGAGGCGUGAUGACGAGGCACUACGGUGCUGAAGCAACAAAUGCCCUGCUUCCAGGAAAAGCCUCUAAGCAUCAGGUAACAUCAAAUCGUACCCCAAACCGACACAGGUGGUCAGGUAGAGAAUACCAAGGCGCUUGAGAGAACUCGGGUGAAGGAACUAGGCAAAAUGGUGCCGUAACUUCGGGAGAAGGCACGCUGAUAUGUAGGUGAAGUCCCUUGCGGAUGGAGCUGAAAUCAGUCGAAGAUACCAGCUGGCUGCAACUGUUUAUUAAAAACACAGCACUGUGCAAACACGAAAGUGGACGUAUACGGUGUGACGCCUGCCCGGUGCCGGAAGGUUAAUUGAUGGGGUCAGCGCAAGCGAAGCUCUUGAUCGAAGCCCCGGUAAACGGCGGCCGUAACUAUAACGGUCCUAAGGUAGCGAAAUUCCUUGUCGGGUAAGUUCCGACCUGCACGAAUGGCGUAAUGAUGGCCAGGCUGUCUCCACCCGAGACUCAGUGAAAUUGAACUCGCUGUGAAGAUGCAGUGUACCCGCGGCAAGACGGAAAGACCCCGUGAACCUUUACUAUAGCUUGACACUGAACAUUGAGCCUUGAUGUGUAGGAUAGGUGGGAGGCUUGGAAGUGUGGACGCCAGUCUGCAUGGAGCCGACCUUGAAAUACCACCCUUUAAUGUUUGAUGUUCUAACGUUGACCCGUAAUCCGGGUUGCGGACAGUGUCUGGUGGGUAGUUUGACUGGGGCGGUCUCCUCCUAAAGAGUAACGGAGGAGCACGAAGGUUGGCUAAUCCUGGUCGGACAUCAGGAGGUUAGUGCAAUGGCAUAAGCCAGCUUGACUGCGAGCGUGACGGCGCGAGCAGGUGCGAAAGCAGGUCAUAGUGAUCCGGUGGUUCUGAAUGGAAGGGCCAUCGCUCAACGGAUAAAAGGUACUCCGGGGAUAACAGGCUGAUACCGCCCAAGAGUUCAUAUCGACGGCGGUGUUUGGCACCUCGAUGUCGGCUCAUCACAUCCUGGGGCUGAAGUAGGUCCCAAGGGUAUGGCUGUUCGCCAUUUAAAGUGGUACGCGAGCUGGGUUUAGAACGUCGUGAGACAGUUCGGUCCCUAUCUGCCGUGGGCGCUGGAGAACUGAGGGGGGCUGCUCCUAGUACGAGAGGACCGGAGUGGACGCAUCACUGGUGUUCGGGUUGUCAUGCCAAUGGCACUGCCCGGUAGCUAAAUGCGGAAGAGAUAAGUGCUGAAAGCAUCUAAGCACGAAACUUGCCCCGAGAUGAGUUCUCCCUGACUCCUUGAGAGUCCUGAAGGAACGUUGAAGACGACGACGUUGAUAGGCCGGGUGUGUAAGCGCAGCGAUGCGUUGAGCUAACCGGUACUAAUGAACCGUGAGGCUUAACCUU